rnacentral:rRNA from 1 species
UACGUAGGGUGCGAGCGUUGUCCGGAAUUAUUGGGCGUAAAGGGCUCGUAGGCGGUUUGUCGCGUCGGGAGUGAAAUCCACUGGCUUAACUGGUGGCUAGCUUUCGAUACGGGCAGACUGGAGGUAUGCAGGGGAGAACGGAAUUCCUGGUGUAGCGGUGAAAUGCGCAGAUAUCAGGAGGAACACCGGUGGCGAAGGCGGCGACCUGGUCCUAUACUGACACUCAUACACGAAAGCGUGGGGAUCAAACAGG